rnacentral:rRNA from 1 species
AAAGUUUUUUUAAAUUUAAUAAUUGAAGUUAUUUUAAUUUGUGAAGAAACAAUUAUAUAAAUUAAAGACAAGAAGACCCUAAGAAUUUAAGAAUUUUUAUUAAUAUAUUAUAUGUAUAUAUAUAUAAAUAAAAUUCUUAGUUGGGGCAACUAAAAAAUAUAUUAAACUUUUUUUUUAAAAAAAUGACCUAUUAUUAAUGAUAAUAUGAAAAAAAUACUCUAGGGAUAACAGCGUAAUAAUUUUUGAUAGAUCUUAUAGACAAAAUAGUUUGCGACCUCGAUGUUGGAUUAGGAUACUUUUUUAAUGAAGAUGUUAAAAAAAGAAGUUUGUUCAACUUUUAAAUUCC